ensembl:lncRNA
CAUCGUGGAGUCCCUGGAAGGCAUUCAGGAGAUAGAAAGGGAGAGAAAGAGAGAGCUAGACAGAGACAAACACUAGAGCCUCUGAAGCUCACUCAGCCUUCCUUACCGUGUUGUCUGUGCGUCUUCACCGCAGACUGUACAUUUUUGUUUAUUUGUUUGUUUGGGAAUUUUUGGUCUUGUCUAAGCAGGAUCGCAGAUAGGCAAAACAUCCUUUGCAGUCCUCAGGAAGUCAUAUUUGUGACGGCUUCAGCCAUGUUCUCCAUGGAUACCUUCAAAUCUAUCCUGUUUCCAUCCAGACGGAUAAAAACAGAGGAGGGGGAAGUAAGUUUAUAAUGUUUAUACAUCAGGUCACCAAGACAACCCAGAGUUCUCCCUCUUCAUAACACAAACACCAAAUUCCCCACAGCAAAACUAAUAUCUUAAAGUCCCAAUGAGCAUCUUUAAAAGCAGAAUGGUGUUAUCUGACUUAAUUCUGCCCAUGUCAAAAAUCACCUAUAUAUCAGGGGGAAGCUAAAGCCCACUGGGCACAUAUGUCAAUUCAACGUCUAUUCCAUGUUGGUUCAAGGUAGUUUCGUUGAAAUGACGUGGAAUCAACGUUGAUUCAACCAGUGGGUGCCCAGUGGAAGGUAUCUGACAAAAUAAUACAGAUUUGGUUCCUGAGUUAAUUAAGCAAUUAAAAAUCCCAUCAUGCUAAGGGUCAUGUAUAAAAAUGCUGGGAAGGCCAUUAUGUUGGCUACCAUGGCUAUGCCCCCAUAGGAUGACCAUGCCCCCAUCCACAGUGCAUGUGUGGUUUCUGAAUGGUUUGAUGAGCAUGAAAAUGAUAUAAACCCUACGCCAUGACCAUCUCAGUCACCAGAUCUCAACCCAAAUGAACACUUAUGGGAGAUUUUGGAGUGGCACCUGAGACAGCGUUUUCCACCACCAUCAACAAAAAAACUAAUGAUGGAAUUUCUUGUGGUAGAAUGGUAUCACAUGCCAAGGUGCAUUGAAGCUGUUCUGGAACAUUAUGAACACUUGUAUUUGAUAUAGACCCCCUACUUCUCCUUAAAUACAUCUCAUCUGGCAGGUCAAACAGAGUGCUGAAGCUGCAGGGCUCAGGCUCGACAUUGUGGUGUGUUUUGGAAUCAGAUAGGACUGACCUAAUAGCAAAACAAUAUAUUGGAGACCCAUACAGAAGCAGGCUAUACAAAACGUUUAGAUCAGCUAUUGGAAAGACUCCCAAAAUGCCAUCGCAACUGCAAUGUUGUGGGAAAAAAAAGUCAAUUUGCUGCAGUGAAUAGAGAAUCAUAUCAUUCUGAAGAGGCAUACGAUUUUUUAUUACUUUAAUGAUAAUGCCUUAUUGAGCAGCGGGGAAUCAUUUGAGAGCAAGUGUGCUCACGGAAAGUGAGAAUCAUGCGUCUGUGCUGAGAGAGUUGAGGCUGAUUGAAAGUGGGUUGUCGUCUCUCCACAGAGCAGAGGCUGCAACGUCGUGCGGGGUGGAAGGAACCGGGCUGAGUUUUCAUUUUGACACAGUAGCCUAACCAGCAGUCCGGUCGGAUACAGAUAAUGUAGACUUGUGGCUUUGGUGACAGAAGGGCAACAUGUGUGGAUUCAAUUGGUCAUGCAAUGAGUCAGUAUGCAAUGUUGUUGUAAUGGUCCUGAGUCUGUAACGGGUAGACAUGCUUGGAGGUGCCGUCUUCGUCAGGCGUUAUUACCGCAGAUCCACUAAUCGGGAAAGUUGUU